rnacentral:ncRNA from 2 species
UUGUAGUGCUAGGGGUGCCUUUUGGCUGAGAGAAGUAAAAAACUUUAACCCUUUGAACCUGAUACGGAUAACACCGACGGAGGGAAGCUGUUUGGAAUGAAU